CCUGAAUCGCAGGUGCAGCGAGGAAGAUGGCGGUGCCGCGCUGCUUUUUUAUGAAGUUUGAACAAAAAACAUUUCGUCCUUAUAAGAUGCAUCGCGGAUCAGACCGCAGGGCUCUGUCUGUGUGUCUAUUAAUAUGAGAGGAGGUGAAGUGGGUGACUCCUUCAGGCUUGUUUCAUGAUGCAUCGUGGAUCCUGUCUGUCUAUUAAUAUGGGAGGGUGUGAAAUGGGUGACUCAUUCAGGCUUGCUUCAUGGGAAGCAGUCCGAUUUCUGAUGCACUUUUCAUUUUCCUCGGCAUCUUUGCUGGUCCUGCCUUUCUCCAGAAUUCCUGGGAGGUUGAAGCAAGGGGCUGGAGUCUGUGACUGUUGGCAAGUUGUCGUUUUUCACCAGUUGAUACAUGCAUCUGUUUUGCUUUUUUGACAGUAAUGUUACAUUUCUGUGUUAACCCAGUAAUGUAAAGUUGCUUAUUUCCACGUACUUUGUGUAUUUUAUGUUGUUGAAUUGUGGUCGCUAUUUCCCUGCUUGAU